UCCCUCUUAGCUCAGUUGGUAGAGCGCGUCACUAGUAUCACGUAAUCACGGUUACGUAAUCAUUCACAUGACGAGGUCAGUCGUUCAAAUCGGCUAGCGGGAA